UAGGGAAUUUUGGGCAAUGGGGGAAACCCUGACCCAGCAACGCCGCGUGAAGGAUGAAGUAUUUCGGUAUGUAAACUUCGAAAGAAUAGGAAGAAUAAAUGACGGUACUAUUUAUAAGGUCCGGCUAACUACGUGCCAGCAGCCGCGGUAAUACGUAGGGACCAAGCGUUGUUCGGAUUUACUGGGCGUAAAGGGCGCGUAGGCGGCAUGACAAGUCACUUGUGAAAUCUCUGGGCUUAACCCAGAACGGCCAAGUGAUACUGUCGCGCUAGAGUGCAGAAGGGGCAAUCGGAAUUCUUGGUGUAGCGGUGAAAUGCGUAGAUAUCAAGAGGAACACCUGAGGUGAAGACGGGUUGCUGGGCUGACACUGACGCUGAGGCGCGAAAGCCAGGGGAGCAAACGGGAUUAGAUACCCCAGUAGUCCCUGAGCGGGCUGGCAAGGCGCAU
rnacentral:rRNA from 1 species